rnacentral:rRNA from 1 species
UGCGUAGGCGGUUCGGUAAGUUUCGUGUGAAAUCUUCGGGCUCAACUCGAAGCCUGCACGAGAUACUGCCGGGCUUGAGUGUGGGAGAGGUGAGUGGAAUUUCCGGUGUAGCGGUGAAAUGCGUAGAUAUCGGAAGGAACACCUGUGGCGAAAGCGGCUCACUGGACCACAACUGACGCUGAGGCACGAAAGCUAGGGGAGCAAACAGGAUUAGAUACCCUGGUAGUCCUAGCCCUAAACGAUGAUCGCUUGGUGUGACGGGUACCCAAUCCCGCCGUGCCGUAGCUAACGCGUUAAGCGAUCCGCCUGGGGAGUACGGUCGCAAGGCUGAA